UUAAUCCCACCAAACUUAUGUCACAUGGUAUUCUUCUUACAAACUGGAAUUCUUAAUAAUACUCUGCAAUGAGCAAAAAUCUUGCAAUAUAAAAAAAAUACAAAUAUUUUUAAUAAUGAAAAUUAAACUUUUUAUAUUAAAGCAAACACUUUUUCAAAAAGUGUUUAUAAUUUGAUUUUUUUUCUCAUAUGCAAAUACACGUAUUAUAAUUAUCGAAAUAAUUAUAUUGAAGAACUAGUUCAUAAAAAAAAAUAUCAUUCAGCUCGGCGAUUUUCCUUAUAAAUAACAGAUUUUUUUAAAUGAAAAAUAUUCAGAAUAUAUGUUGUGUCAUCAAAUAUACAAUACAUUAUUUUUAUCGUUUGAUAGUCUUUACACAGAAUAUUCUUUUCAUCAAAAUCAAAAUCAUUUUCCUUAAAAUUUAGAAAGAUUAAAAAUUCAUAUACGCUCAACAAUCGAUACGAGAUUGAAAAAAUCGUAAAUUUUGAAUGCUGAUUUAAAUUCAAAUAUUUACUUUGAAAAAAAAAAACGCACGGUACUAGUAUUCUCUAGAAAUUUUGUUAAGAUAAAUAUUUUUUUAAUAAUUAUAAUACAUGACAUUUGUUUAAGCUUUAUAAAUCUUUUUCCAAAGGCAACAAAUUAAAUAAAGCAAACUGAUUUGAUUUAAUAUACAUAAUGUAUCAAACAAAUCAAACCAUCCACAUUAACGACCCCCGGGUCUUUUGUGGUCUCUAUUGCAAGUUUCUGCUCGAACCUAGGAGUCCGAAGGCUUGAAUGGGGAGAGCACCCAAACCUCUUUCUACUCCAAGGAACCUUCCACCCCAGUGUUUGAACUGACGACCUUUGGAUUGCGAGUCCAACCGCCGCCAGCGAUUCCACCGGAGUAGGCUUGGUUUGGUGUGUUGUUUGUACUUAUGGCAUGGAGAUGACUCCUACACCUGGAAUGACUUAACGGCCUAACAACCAAGGCCGGGACCGAUAUUUUACUUCCUCAUCCGAUGGAAGGUUGCAGCAGAUGGGAAUCGAACCCAGAAUCAUCCGCUUACAAAGCGGACAGCGUAACCAUUCGGCCACGCACUGCCACAUAAUGUAUAGCCGUAAUUAAAAAACCAUCUAUUCCAUAUUUUCCAAAAUCUUUGGAAGCUAAAAUAAUUGACAGUUUAAACUUAAAAAGAAUUAGAAUAAAUUAAAGCUAAGCAAAGUAUUUUAAGCGGUUAAGGGUAGGAUAUUUUGAAACGUAAAUUUCCCGUUGUUUUUUUUAGAAAAGACACUUUUAAGUUUUUUUUCUAAGAACUGCAGAUCAAAAAAAACAUUAUUGGACUUAGGGUUUCUUAAGAAUUGAAAUUUUUGACACCAGAUAAACUGACAUUUCACUAGUUUUUUUAACAUUCCAACGAUUGAUCAACAAUUAGUUUGAUCAAAUCUGUAUUCUUUGCGAUCAAAAACGACAUUCCAAGUUUUUUCCCCCCGCGGAAUUUUGGGCGAUUUUUUUAAACGCUCAAAGAAAGAAAAAAAAAAGAAUCGUCCAAAUUGAUUGAAUUAUGCACAAGAACCAGCGAGUAGAAGUUGCCGUUGGGCGUCCGUGUAAGUUUGACAUGCGUUGGGUGUUCCAGUGUUAGUAUAAAACAUCAAAUUGUAAAAUUUGUUAAUCAAAUAAAAAUGCUCAAUAAUUUUCUAUUAAGUUAUCAAAAUAAUAAAAACGGAAAAAAACACAAAAAGGGUAAUUUUUUGAACUAUCAAUGAAUUUUAUUUCAACCAAUAAUUUAAUUCUUAUUUUUUUGCUUUAAAUAUAUUUGUUCAUUAAAAAAAAACAGUUUGUUCAAAAAAUCUUGAAAUGGUUUAUUUUUUUAAAAUACAUAUUCAAAAAUUUAUUUUUAAUUAUUUUAUAAAUUAAAAAUUGUUUCCGGAAAGAUUAAGAACUCGGUGAUGUCUUUAAAUGAGAAUUGAAAUGUUAUUUUUUUUAUUGUGCAAAUAUUUUUGAUGCAUGUUUUCCCAUCAAUCAAAACAUCAGAAUUAAAAAAAAGUGGUUAACACUGAAUCCAAAUACUUGAGACAUUUUGCCUUGAAUUUUCCUUGAAAAGCGUUAAUUAGUUUCAUUCAUAUUUUGUUUAAUUUUGCUGAAACAUUAUAGAAUCUUUCCGAAGACCAGACAAAUCCCUUUUUAAAAAGCAUAUUUUUCAAAAUUAAAAUAUGAAUGAACUCAUUUCUGAUUUUCAUGAAAAAUUCGAGAAAAAAUGUCUUAAGUAUUUUUUCAGUGUAAACUUCAUUUUUUGUAGGUAUUCUGAUUUUUUGAUUGAUUGAUGGGAAAUCAUACAUCAGAAAUAUUUGCACAAUUUAAAACAAAACAAACAUCUAAAGACAUUUACGAGAUCUGAAUCUUUUUGUAAUAAAUUUUUAUUUUAUGAAAUAAAAUUUUAAAGAUGUAUUUAAAAAUAAAUUAAUCCACUUUAAUUUUUUUUAUCAAGCUGUUUUUUUUAAAGAAUCUUUAAUAAUGGAUUUAAAUUCAAGAACAAAAUGUUGAAAAAAUCACAGAUUUUUCAAAAAUUAUCUUACUGUUUUCAGAAAACUUUUUUUUUUGUUCUUAAAACUGAAGGUAGAGGUAAAUUCACCCUUCAAUAUUUGUCAAUAUAUCAAUAUUGCCUUGACUUGAAAACACUCACAAAAAGAAUGGAGUCAACUUAGUUUUUUUAAUUGCUCUCCCCCAGUCACGACGUUCUAGCAGAAUUCUUGCAGAAUUCUUAGAGAGCUGGAUAUUCUUAGAGCAUUCUAACAGAAAUGUUCCACCGUUCUAGCAGGAUUCUGACAGAACCAGCUCUGCUAGAAUAUUUCGUGACUGGGCCUCAGGUAUUUAAUGGAUUUUCACACAUCUUUGUAUUUGCAACUUUAAUAUUAUAAAAAAUAUGAUUUUCAAAUGAACAAAUAUAUAUAUAUUUAAUAUUUAAAGCUUUAUUUUAACACUGGAACACCCAACGCAUGUCAAACAACUUAAUUCAUUUUAUUUAUUUAAUUUCAGAACAAUAAGUAUUAUUUUCAUUUUUCAUUCGCGGAAAUUCGAUGUUCCAUCCACGAGGGUCCCGGAGCACCAAAACUUCUUAGCAUGGUGGCUCCCAACGUUAAUUGCCUAAACAAACAGGAACGUGAGCGGGGGAUCCCCACGUUUCUUCCUCCCCUGUAGAUUCAGAAAUGUAUUGUUGUUUGAACAUUCGUGCUCAAAUUCAAUCCACUUCAACGAAUCAUCUUUGCGGUAAACUUUACGCAGUUGGCCUGGCCGCUUUAACGUUUGUGAUGUUUCAAAGCAAUUUAUUGCAUUGGGGCACUGCAAUUGUUAAUAAUGACAAGAGGAUGCUAGGCGUUAAUCAACCUUAGGCAUUUUCCAGGAUGCCCUCGAAAGACUGGCUGCGCUAGGGUUAGAUUAGAUUAGAUUACAAUAAGUUUUUUUUUUCAUUUUUCAAGAGAGUGCCCAUUUAUGGAAACACUUGCAGAAUUUGAAAAAAUCAGACAAAUAAUAGUUGAUAUAUAACCUUGCUGACAAAAAACAUUGAGAAAAAACUUCUAUUGAAAAAUGGAAGGUAUUUGAAAAAAACAUGAAAAUACCUUUGUUAUUUUGAAUUUUAAAAUUUCCAAAAUCUUAAGUAAGAGAAUUUCAUAUCUUUUCAAAACAACAAAAAUUUACAUACUUGGGACUGCUUUUAAAAAAAAUGCAUUGGUCCUUUAUUGACUUUAAAAUAAUGCCUUUUAGUAAAUUUCUAAAAACUUUACAAUAGUUAAGUUUACUAUAUAAUUAUUUUGAAAAUAAAAACCAAAAAAUGCUUUUGAAAGUGCUAUGAGAACAUCCUUAUAUUUUUUUAAAAUCGCAUUUUGUAUCAUACCGCCAUGACAUUUUUUGACUAUCUCUUUCAUAAAAUCAAAAGAUGUGUUUUUGAUUAUCUUAAAUUUACUAUAAUCUAAAACAAAAAAAAAAACUAAUACAAGGAUUUUCAUAUAAUCUAGAAGCACGGCAACAAUACGAGCAAAGAUUUCGCAUUCUGUAUUUUAAUGUAAUUGCCGAUUACUCUACCUUUUUUGAUUUACGGUGCUGUUUUUUAACUAAAUUGCAUGUGAAAAUAUCAAAUGGUUUUUGUGACAAGUAGUUUGAUGUUUCGUUAAUUUAUAUUUUUAAUUGAUCAUAAUUUAGGAUAUUUGUUCAAAUAUCUAACGUUUAUGGCAUAGAUGCUUUUUUUUGCUUAUUUCAAUUAAAAUUGGGUUUGAAAAGGUUGUUGGGCACUCUUGCUGAGUCUUACUCUACUUACAAUUUUUGUAUGGACAGUUGGUGGAUUCUUCUUAUGAAGUUGUUUAGGAAAAUGAUGAAUAAAUGCAAACAAAAAUAAUAAAAACCCGAUUUAAUCCCACCUGGGGUGAGAUAGAGCCUUUCUUACUAAAGAAUAUAACGAUGGUAGAACUUCUUUCAAUUCAUAACAUUGACUUUGUUUAGAAGAAGAAGAAAGUCUUAUGAUGAAAGCAAAGUAUUAUAAA